rnacentral:tRNA from 1 species
GCGAAAGUGGCGGAACUGGCAGACGCGCGAGAUUUAGAGUCUCGUGGGGGUCACCCCGUGGGGGUUCGAGUCCCCCCUUUCGCACCA